UACAGAGGUCUCAAGCGUUGUUCGGAUUCAUUGGGCGUAAAGGGAGCGUAGGCGGUCGGGUAAGUCGGAUGUGAAAUCCUGGGGCUCAACCUCAGAACUGCAUUCGAUACUGCUUGGCUAGAGGAUUGGAGAGGAGAGUGGAAUUCACGGUGUAGCAGUGAAAUGCGUAGAGAUCGUGAGGAAGACCAACGGCGAAGGCAGCUCUCUGGACAAUUCCUGACGCUGAGGCUCGAAGGCCAGGGGAGCAAACGGG
rnacentral:rRNA from 1 species